rnacentral:rRNA from 1 species
AGUGAACGCUGGCGGUAGGCCUAACACAUGCCAGUCGAACGGCAGCACAGUAAGAGCUUGCUCUUACGGGUGGCGAGUGGCGGACGGGUGAGGAAUACAUCGGAAUCUACUUUUUCGUGGGGGAUAACGUAGGGAAACUUACGCUAAUACCGCAUACGACCUACGGGUGAAAGCAGGGGAUCUUCGGACCUUGCGCGAUUGAAUGAGCCGAUGUCGGAUUAGCUAGUUGGCGGGGUAAAGGCCCACCAAGGCGACGAUCCGUAGCUGGUCUGAGAGGAUGAUCAGCCACACUGGAACUGAGACACGGUCCAGACUCCUACGGGAGGCAGCAGUGGGGAAUAUUGGACAAUGGGCGCAAGCCUGAUCCAGCCAUACCGCGUGGGUGAAGAAGUCCUUCGGGUUGUAAAGCCCUUUUGUUGGGAAAGAAAAGCAGCAGGUUAAUACCCCGCUGUUCUGACGGUACCCAAAGAAUAAGCACCGGCUAACUUCGUG